rnacentral:piRNA from 1 species
UACCAGCCGCGAUUUCUGUCUUGUUGAGUA